rnacentral:rRNA from 1 species
UACGUAGGGUGCGAGCGUUGUCCGGAAUUAUUGGGCGUAAAGAGCUCGUAGGCGGUGUGUCACGUCGGCCGUGAAAACCUGCAGCUUAACUGUGGGCGUGCGGUCGAUACGGGCAUCACUGGAGUUCGGCAGGGGAGACUGGAAUUCCUGGUGUAGCGGUGAAAUGCGUAGAGAUCGGGAGGAACACCUGUGGCGAAGGCGGCCCCCCUGGGCCGGCCCCUGACACUGAGACGCGAAAAGCGUGGGGGAGCAAACAGG